AACGUAGGACGCAAGCGUUAUCCGGAGUUACUGGGCGUAAAGGGCAGGCAGGCGGGUCGAUAAGUCGGAUGUGAAAUCUCCCUGGCUUAACCGGGAGAGUGCAUUUGAGACUGUCAACCUGGAGGGCAGCAGAGGAGCGUGAAUUCCGGGUGGAGUGGUGAAAUGCGUAGAGAUCCGGAGGAACACCAGAGGCGAAAGCGGCGCUCUGGGCUGCACCUGACGCUGAAAUGCGAAAGCCAGGGGAGCGAACGGG
rnacentral:rRNA from 1 species